rnacentral:rRNA from 1 species
GCGGAGGAAAAGAAACCAACAGGGAUUGCCCCAGUAACGGCGAGUGAAGCGGCAACAGCUCAAAUUUGAAAUCUGGUCCCCCCGCGGGGCCCGAGUUGUAAUUUGAAGAGGAUGCUUCUGGCAAGGUGCCGUCCGAGUUCCCUGGAACGGGACGCCGCAGAGGGUGAGAGCCCCGUACGGUCGGACGCCGAGCCUCUGUGAAGCUCCUUCGACGAGUCGAGUAGUUUGGGAAUGCUGCUCAAAAUGGGAGGUAAACCCCUUCUAAAGCUAAAUACCGGCCAGAGACCGAUAGCGCACAAGUAGAGUGAUCGAAAGAUGAAAAGCACUUUGAAAAGAGAGUUAAAAAGCACGUGAAAUUGUUGAAAGGGAAGCGCUUGCGACCAGACUCGCGCCCGUCGGAUCAGCCGUCGCUCGUCGGCGGCGCACUCCGGCGGGCUCGGGCCAGCAUCAGUUCGCCUCGGGGGGAGAAAGGCGGCGGGAAUGUGGCUCUACGGAGUGUUAUAGCCCGCCGCGUAAUACCGGCCGGGCGGA